rnacentral:rRNA from 1 species
AGGACGAACGCUGGCGGCGUGCUUAACACAUGCAAGUCGAACGGUGAAGAGGAGCUUGCUCCUUGGAUCAGUGGCGAACGGGUGAGUAACACGUGAGCAAUCUGCCCUUGACUCUGGGAUAACUGCGGGAAACUGUAGCUAAUACCGGAUAUUACCUUGGAAGGCAUCUUCUGGGGUGGAAAGAAUUUUGGUCAAGGAUGAGCUCGCGGCCUAUCAGCUAGUUGGUGAGGUAAUGGCUCACCAAGGCGACGACGGGUAGCCGGCCUGAGAGGGUGACCGGCCACACUGGGACUGAGACACGGCCCAGACUCCUACGGGAGGCAGCAGUGGGGAAUAUUGCACAAUGGGCGCAAGCCUGAUGCAGCAACGCCGCGUGAGGGACGACGGCCUUCGGGUUGUAAACCUCUUUUAGUAGGGAAGAAGCGACUGGGUUUUCCUGGGAGUGACGGUACCUGCAGAAAAAGCACCGGCUAACUACGUGCCAGC